rnacentral:rRNA from 1 species
UACGUAGGGACCAAGCGUUGUUCGGAUUUACUGGGCGUAAAGGGCGCGUAGGCGGCAAUUCAAGUCAUCUGUGAAAUCUCCGGGCUCAACCCGGAAAUGGCAUUGGAAACUGCGUGGCUAGAGGGUUGGAGGGGGGACUGGAAUACUUGGUGUAGCAGUGAAAUGCGUAGAUAUCAAGUGGAACACCAGUGGCGAAGGCGAGUCCCUGGACAACACCUGACACUGAGGCACGAAAGCUAGGGGAGCAAACAGG